UCGAGCGGGGUUUUCGGACCUAGCGGCGGACGGGUGAGUAAUGCGUAGGAAGCUACCCGAUAGAGGGGGAUACCAGUUGGAAACGACUGUUAAUACCGCAUAAUGUCUACGGACCAAAGUGUGGGACCUUCGGGCCACAUGCUAUCGGAUGCGCCUACGUGGGAUUAGCUAGUUGGUGAGGUAAUGGCUCACCAAGGCGACGAUCUCUAGCUGGUUUGAGAGGAUGAUCAGCCACACUGGAACUGAGACACGGUCCAGACUCCUACGGGAGGCAGCAGUGGGGAAUAUUGGACAAUGGGCGCAAGCCUGAUCCAGCCAUGCCGCGUGUGUGAAGAAGGCCUUCGGGUUGUAAAGCACUUUCAGCGAGGAGGAAGGGGUUGUAGUUAAUAGCUGCAACCUUUGACGUUACUCGCAGAAGAAGCACCGGCUAACUCUGUGCCAGCAGCCGCGGUAAUACAGAGGGUGCAAGCGUUAAUCGGAAUUACUGGGCGUAAAGCGCACGCAGGCGGUUGGUUAAGUCAGAUGUGAAAGCCCCGGGCUCAACCUGGGAAUUGCAUUUGAAACUGGCCAACUAGAGUAUGUGAGAGGGGGGUAGAAUUCCAAGUGUAGCGGUGAAAUGCGUAGAGAUUUGGAGGAAUACCAGUGGCGAAGGCGGCCCCCUGGCACAAUACUGACGCUCAGGUGCGAAAGCGUGGGGAGCAAACAGGAUUAGAUACCCUGGUAGUCCACGCCGUAAACGAUGUCUACUAGCUGUUCGUGGUCUUGUACUGUGAGUAGCGCAGCUAACGCACUAAGUAGACCGCCUGGGGAGUACGGUCGCAAGAUUAAAACUCAAAUGAAUUGACGGGGGCCCGCACAAGCGGUGGAGCAUGUGGUUUAAUUCGACGCAACGCGAAGAACCUUACCUACUCUUGACAUCUGGCGAAGAUUGUAGAGAUACGAUUGUGCCUUCGGGAACGCUAAGACAGGUGCUGCAUGGCUGUCGUCAGCUCGUGUUGUGAAAUGUUGGGUUAAGUCCCGCAACGAG
rnacentral:rRNA from 1 species